UUUCAUAUUUUUCAAAGUUCGCACUUGGCCGGAGAGGUCGUUUAAAAAAAACAUCUUCAACGAAAUGAUCACUUUGAAAUUCCCUAUCGAUAGCACCAUAAACGUCCGGAAACAAAAAUGGUGUGUCCGAUUC